rnacentral:rRNA from 1 species
GAUGAACGCUAGCGGCAGGCCUAAUACAUGCAAGUCGAACGGUGUAGCAAUAAACAGUGGCGCACGGGUGCGUAACACGUAUGCAACCUACCUUACAUUGGGGGAUAGCCUUUCGAAAGGGAGCUUAAUACCGCAUAAGACAGUAACUAGGCAUCUAGUAGCUGUUAAAGAUUUAUCGAUGUAAGCUGGGCAUGCGUCCAAUUAGUUAGUUGGCGAGGUAAUGGCUCACCAAGACGAUGAUUGGUAGGGGAACUGAGAGGUCAAUCCCCCACACUGGCACUGAGAUACGGGCCAGACUCCUACGGGAGGCAGCAGUAGGGAAUAUUGGGCAAUGGGCGCAAGCCUGACCCAGCCAUGCCGCGUGCAGGAAGAAGGCGUUAUGCGUUGUAAACUGCUUUUAUACAGGAAGAAACGACCCUUGCGAGGGGCAUUGACGGUACUGUAUGAAUAAGCACCGGCUAACUCCGUGCCAGCAGCCGCAGUAAUAC